rnacentral:lncRNA from 1 species
GAGCUUCCAAACUUAACACUUAAAGAUUUUGGAUUAUCUAUAUCUAUAUAUAUAUAUAUAUAUAGGUCUUAUAACCGUGCAAUGGGUCUAUGACUAUGUGUCUAUAUUGUUGUGGUGGCCUUUAAUCACGUAGAGCCUUUUAUCGUGAGUGUCCAAUUACCACGUAGUUCUAUCACUGCGCUCCUGUGACCAUGUGAUGCGGACUGCCUCUACUGACCGCCGCGAGUUACCGAUUGUCGCCACAAGUCGCCGCAGAUCCCAGUUGUUUUUCAUGUGAUUUUUGUACCAAACCACCAUGCCGCAAGAGCUUCUGCCUCACACAAUCCCACGCUGCGACCCUGCACGGGCUUCCGACUUGCACAAUCUAGCGCCACUGUAGUCACACCACCUUGCGCAAAGUGCCUCACUAAGCACCCUCGAUGUCGCUCCUAACGUCAAAAACCAAAAACAAAAAAAAAAAACAAAAUUGAAAAUUUGUCCAAGCUCGAUCUAUGCCUUUGCAAAGUUUUAGAGCAUCGCGACUAAAACCUAUGGCUCCCGGUGCUGCUCUUUGCAAGCUCUGAACCCUCGUUUGCAUAAUAAACCUGUGACCCUGAUUCUUCGUAGACUGCAACUCCUCACAACUUUGCACUCUUGGAUUGCAACCUACGAUUGUCUGGUGCCGUGACUCCAGUUCUACGAGGUUUCAGUACUCCAUUGCUGCACUCUAGCCUCAAUGCUGCAAGGGUUUCUGCACCAAUCGUGUCCAGUGCUGCAACCUUCU